rnacentral:rRNA from 1 species
AUUGAACGCUGGCGGAAUGCUUUACACAUGCAAGUCGAGCGGCAGCGCGGGGCAACCUGGCGGCGAGCGGCGAACGGGUGAGUAAUGCAUCGGAACAUGUCCAUGGAUGGGGGAUAGCCCGGCGAAAGCCGGAUUAAUACCGCAUGAGCCCGAGAGGGGAAAGAGGGGGACAGCAAGGCCUCACGUCGACGGGUUGGCCGAUGUCCGAUUAGCUAGUUGGUGGGGUAAAGGCCCACCAAGGCGAUGAUCGGUAGCUGGUCUGAGAGGAUGAUCAGCCACACCGGGACUGAGACACGGCCCAGACUCCUACGGGAGGCAGCAGUGGGGAAUUUUGGACAAUGGGGGCAAUCCUGAUCCAGCCAUUCCGCGUGAGUGAAGAAGGCCUUCGGGUUGUAAAGCUCUUUUGUCCGGAACGAAACCGGCGCGGUGAAUAUCCGCGUUGACUGACGGUACCGGAAGAAUAAGCACCGGCUAACUACGUGCCAGCAGCCGCCGUAAAAC